UCCUGGGGCCGGAGAAGGUCCCAAGGGUCGGGCUGUUCGCCCGUUAAAGCGGUACGCGAGCUGGGUUUAGAACGUCGUGAGACAGUUCGGUCUGUAUCCGCCGUGGGCGUUGGAGAUUUGAGGAGAGCCGCUCCUAGUACGAGAGGACCGGAGUGGAGUGACCGCUGGUGUACCUGUUGUCCCGCCAGGGGCAUCGCAGGGUAGCUAUGUCGCGAAGGGAUAACCGCUGAAAGCAUCUAAGUGGGAAGCCUACUUCAAGAUGAGAUCUCCCGCACCGCAAGGUGCCUGAAGGACCGCAGGAGACGACUGCGUAGAUAGGCGGCAGGUGUAAGGCGUGCGAGCGUCUCAGCCGAGCCGUACUAAUCGUCCGUGAGGCUUGAUCCA
rnacentral:rRNA from 1 species